rnacentral:rRNA from 1 species
CGUAAGACGUAGGCGAAUUCGUCGUGUAGCGGUGAAAUGCAUAGAUAUGACGAAGAACUCCGAUUGCGAAGGCAGCUUACUGGGCCGCAACUGACGUUGAAGCUCGAAGGUGCGGGUAUCAAACAGGAUUAGAUAGCGUGGUAGUCCGCACAGUAAACGAUGGAUACUCGCUGUCGGCGAUAUACAGUCGGUAGCCCAAGCGAAAGCAUUAAGUAUCCCACCUGGGGAGUACGCCGGCAACGGUGAAACUC